ensembl:lincRNA Gm43270 predicted gene 43270
AGCAGUGGCGGUGGCGUGGAAGCCAUGACCGCCACUAAACACUGCACCUGAACUGGCUGAGGUGGUAGCUGUUAAAGUCUGAAAGAAAAUAUAACUGUAAGCAGGUCACAGAAAUACAGGGCGAACAAAUAGUAAAGCGACAGGAUAAAGCGGAGGUGUGAGUCCAUCUGUCGUCACCGCAACAAAAUACCCGAGGAAAUGUGGAAAACCUUGUGCUGUCUCCUGCUUCAGAGGCACCAGCCCUAGGUCACGCUCAGCCUGGGCCUGUGGUGAGAUCCACCUCACAGCAGAAGUUUGUGUUGCUCUCUCACACUAACGGUUUGAGAAUUUGAUCCCUUCUGCUACCUAGAAGCUGGUUGCCCCUGAGGUCCCUCCUUCCUCUAGCAUACCACUCCUCAGAAUGUCCAGAGAUGACGCUGCAAGGACCCGUCUGUGACGAACUAGGGCACUGAGGAGAGCGUUCUCCAGGUUCCUUCCUCUUCCUGCGUUGCCAUUGUUACCGUGUGACAUUCCAGGGUAGGAGAGGACACCGAGAGUCAGGAGAGACAACAGCACACUCCGCCCAUUUCAAUAAAGAGAAAAGCAAUCUCGAGAAAGCAAACGACCCCUGCCAACCCUCGGUUGGAAUCUCAGGACUCUGACUGCGUAUGCUCUACCCAGUGGAAACGUUCGCCACAUGGGCUGGGGAGAUGACUGGCUUGGGUGAAGCACUUGCUACACAGCCCAAGGACCUGAAAUCAGAACCCCAGAACCCUUAGAAAGACUGGCGUGGCUCCCAGCACCCUACAGGAAAGUGGGAAGCAGCGACAAGAACAUUUCUUGGCAAACUGGGAAGGAGGAGGAGUCCCCAACUGGAACAAGGUGAGGGCCGACACCCAAGGUUGUUCUCCACCCUCCACCCAUGUGCUGUGGCAUGCACUAGUCUCUACUCACACCCACAAACAUAGGUCAUCAAACACAGGCUCGCAGUGUGGCGGGUGGGGAGAGGGAGAGAGAGGUGGGUUUUUUUAGUUUGGUUUGGUUUGGUUUGGUUUGGUUUGGUUUGGUUUGGUUUGGUUUUUUAAAGAACUUGAGAACCUAUGGGGCUUAAUGUUUGAAGAAACCACUGAAAUAAAGUGCAAAGAAAAGCCAUACUAGAUGAAGAGAAAGGGGACAACAUUUGAAAUGUAAAUAAAGAAAAUAU